GACGAACGCUGGCGGCGUGCUUAACACAUGCAAGUCGAACGGAAAGGCCCUGCUUUUGUGGGGUGCUCGAGUGGCGAACGGGUGAGUAACACGUGAGUAACCUGCCCUUGACUUUGGGAUAACUUCAGGAAACUGGGGCUAAUACCGGAUAGGAGCUCCUGCUGCAUGGUGGGGGUUGGAAAGUUUCGGCGGUUGGGGAUGGACUCGCGGCUUAUCAGCUUGUUGGGGGGGUAGUGGCUUACCAAGGCUUUGACGGGUAGCCGGCCUGAGAGGGUGACCGGCCACAUUGGGACUGAGAGACGGACCAGACUGCUACGGGAGGCAGCAGUGGGGAAUAUUGCACAAUGGGCGGAAGCCUGAUGCAGCAACGCCGCGUGCGUGAUGACGGCCUUCGGGUUGUAAACCGCUUUCGCCGGUGACGAAGCGUGAGUGACGGUAAUGGGUAAAGAAGCACCGGCUAACUACGUG
rnacentral:rRNA from 1 species